AGGGCGAGCUACCUCGGUGACAGGACGCGAAUCUCGAAAGCCGGUCUCAGUUCGGAUUGGAGGCUGAAACUCGCCUCCAUGAAGUUGGAUUCGCUAGUAAUCGCGCAUCAGCCAUGGCGCGGUGAAUACGUUCCCGGGCCUUGUACACACCGCCCGUCAAGCCAUGGGAGUUGGGGGUGCCUGAAGUACGUGACCGCAAGGAGCGUCCUAGGGCAAAACCGAUGACUGGGGCUAAGUCGUAACAAGGUAAC
rnacentral:rRNA from 1 species